AGCGAACGCUGGCGGCAGGCCUAACACAUGCAAGUCGAACGAACUCUUCGGAGUUAGUGGCGGACGGGUGAGUAACACGUGGGAACGUGCCUUUAGGUUCGGAAUAACUCAGGGAAACUUGAGCUAAUACCGGAUGUGCCCUUCGGGGGAAAGAUUUAUCGCCUUUAGAGCGGCCCGCGUCUGAUUAGCUGGUUGGUGAGGUAAAGGCUCACCAAGGCGACGAUCAGUAGCUGGUCUGAGAGGAUGAUCAGCCACAUUGGGACUGAGACACGGCCCAAACUCCUACGGGAGGCAGCAGUGGGGAAUCUUGCGCAAUGGGCGAAAGCCUGACGCAGCCAUGCCGCGUGAAUGAUGAAGGUCUUAGGAUUGUAAAAUUCUUUCACCGGGGACGAUAAUGACGGUACCCGGAGAAGAAGCCCCGGCUAACUUCGUG
rnacentral:rRNA from 1 species